GCCUCGGUGGUGUAGUGGUCAAGGCGCUCGCCUGCCUGGUAAACAGGAGGGCGUGGGUUCAAUCCCAGCCGAGGUA
rfam:Asian citrus Psyllid, Diaphorina citri - Florida Strain, whole genome shotgun sequence.